rnacentral:rRNA from 1 species
CCCUACGGGGGGCAGCAGUGGGGAAUAUUGCACAAUGGGGGAAACCCUGAUGCAGCGACGCCGCGUGAGUGAAGAAGUAUUUCGGUAUGUAAAGCUCUAUCAGCAGGGAAGAAAAUGACGGUACCUGACUAAGAAGCCCCGGCUAACUACGUGCCAGCAGCCGCGGUAAUACGUAGGUGGCGAGCGUUAUCCGGAUUUAUUGGGCGUAAAGAGUGCGCAGGCGGUUUGCUAAGUCUAAGAUUAAAGUCCGAAGCUUAACUUCGGUUCGUUUUAGAAACUGGCAGGCUAGAGUAUGGUAGAGGCAA